GUCCGUGCGUAGACCUUUCCUCCCAUUUUCGCCGUCAUCGUCGUCGGUCACACGGCUGCCUCUGUGACUGUGUGCGUGUGAGUCUGCCAUCACCCCCCCCUUCCUUUUGCUUCCGUUCUGUUCAUGCCUGCCAAGAAGAAGUCAACAAAGGCAAACUCCUCCAAAAAGGAGGUUCUGCCAGAACCUGCGACGAUCAAGAACGGAACGGGCACCGUGUUCAUUGGCGGCUGGUCCUCGUACGACACGAUCGAGUCUGUGAGCCAGGCGAGUAGGUCGGUGAUCGCAGCCAACACGGACGCCGACGGGGUCGUUGCAGCGGCGCUGCCGCGCACUAAUGUCCUUGUCCUCCCGACGGAGAAAGCUGACGACGACGCGGACAGCGGAGCGGCACAGGCUCCAUUCGUCGUGGAGGUAGCGGAUCAAUUCUUCGUCGAGGGUGUGUCUCGUCAUCAGUGUGCGCAGGCCCAGGCGCUGGUGAAGACCUGGGAGCCAGCACCCGCACAGCCGACAGAGGCGACGGCACCUAGCGAGCAAAUCGCGGCCCCUGCACCGAAGGAGGAGGCUGUCAACCCCUACGCAGAUGCCGCGAGUGACCGACGGUACACGCAAGAGGUUUUGGUGGGAGCCAGCUAUGCCGCACGCGACGUUGUGAUUCGCGGCCCAUGCUCCAUCGAAGGUGUCGCCCCCAUCAUCGUCGUGCCGCCGCAACUUCCGGAAAAGCCGGACCUGGACGCGGUGACGCUGGACCCCCCCGCCGACAACGCCGCAGCCGCGGCAGGGGUGUCCACCAAGAAGAAAAAAACGGCAAAGAACAAAAAGAAGUCAAAACCGAAGCUGACACCAGAGCAGGUUGAGGAGCUGGAGAGGAAGAAGGCGGAAUUGGAGGCGCAAUACAUGCGACAAACGGAGGAGGCGGUGCAGCGCGCGAAGCAGGAGUCCGACUACCUCAUGACGUUCGCCCAUCCCGACCGCUGGGCGAACGUGGUGUUCCGCCACAUGACGUUUGCCGGGCCUGUACAAGUACAUCGCGCCCACGUCUCCUUCCAAAACUGCCGUUUCGUCGGCAUCACUAACACCGCCAUGUUGAAUCGGCCGCUGCUCCUCGUGAGCCAGUACUGCCGCGUGCAGUGCACCAAGUGCAGCUUCGAGGCUCCGCAGCGCUGCGGCAUCUACGCGCUCCCGAGCGCGCAGGUGGGGGUGCGGAAGUGUCUCUUUACCGGCGUGAAGCAGGAUAUCCUGUGGGCUGCGGCGCUGCCGGGUGUGUCGCCGCAGAACGCCGGCGCCGCCGCUUCCUUAGAGGUGGACGGCGGUGAUGACGACAGCGCUGGUCAUGGCCGACCUGUCUCGCCGACAGACGCGGCUGACGAUCACAGCGCCGACCACAAGGCUGCCGGCGUGCUAUCCUUUCCCGUCGCCCUUGGCGGCGAGCUCCAGGAAGCCGCGCGCGCGGCUCUCCACGACCGUAGCGCGGCAGUCGGAAUCCUGUCAGACUGCGCCAAGCUGAUGGUUCACGGUUGCGACUUUCUGUGCCUCGGGGUCGGUGUGUACGUGAAGGGCAGCUACACCGUCUACGUUUCUCAUCACAAGGCAGCCCCAAAGACGCCCCAACAGCUGACACCAGAGGCGUGCGACACGUCUUUGGACAGCAACUCGUUUCACCACUUCGCCAAUGCGGCGCUUUUGCUUGAUAGGUCGUCGCGGCUGGUGUCGAUUCGCCGUAGUUACGUCGAGGGGUCCGCCCACUACGGACUGGAUUGCCAGGGCGGCGCGAGCUCAGUGCUCGUGCGACAAAACUACUUCGCGGCCGAUGCGACGGUGCGCAUUCGCGAAGGCGCCAAGGUGGCGAUGCUGCACAACGACUUCCAGAGCAUUCCACUAAAUGACAAUUCCUACGGCAACCCGUGCCUGCAGUCCGUGUACUAAAGCUGCCGGACAGGUGCGGAAAACUUACGGUCUGUUUGCGUGGGUACGUGCUUAGCGGUUUGCGGCUGUCGUUGCGGGUGCGUGUGCAUGAGACGCGUGGGCACGUUGCACCAAGCCCGCUUCGUUGCUGUUACGCCAUCUUUUAGAAGCCGCUGGCGGCGGUUCGCCGAUGUACAGUUGUGAAGAAUAACGAGGGCGGAUGGUAACUAGGCAGGCGAGAGGACGCGGGGCGGGACCUGAUCAAGGAGACGUACGUCUCUCUCGUGGCGCACGCAGGCUGUUGAGAGAAGUCUGUAAAGGACCUGAGACUCAUCCUGCCUGCCCGCCCACUCCUUAUCUGAGCCUUUUGUUGUAGUUUUCUGUAGGUUGGCGAUUCGAAACCCGCCUUGAACGGUCGUUUGCUGCAGAGACAUGCCAUGUACCGUCUGGCCAUGUAAAUGCUCUCCUCUAUUGCAGAAAUGUUUUUUUUUUUCAGGCUCCAUCGUGUUGUCGCUGCACGCGUGCCUGCCGCACCCGGUAACCGGCAGGGAUAACCGUUUCUCCACAGACAAG
rnacentral:misc_RNA from 1 species